rnacentral:lncRNA from 1 species
GUCCCUUCCACGCUGUGGAAGGUUUGUUCUUUCACUCUUCACAAUAAAUCUUGCUGCUGCUCAGUCUUUGGGUCUGCACCACCUUUAUGAGCCGUAACACUCACUGCAAGGGUCUGCAGCUUCAUUCCUGAAGUCAGCAAGACCACGAACCCAGCGCGAGGAACAAACAACUACGGACACACCACCUUUAAGAGCUGUAACACUCACUGCGAAGGUCUGCGGCUUCACUCCUGAAGUCAGCGAGACCACGAACCCACCAGAAGGAAGAAACUCUGUACACAUCUGAACAUCUGAAGGAACAAAUUCCGGACACACCAUCUUUAGGAGCUGUAACACUCACCGUGCAGGUCCGUGGCUUCAUUCUUGAAGUCAGCAAGACCAAGAACUCACCGGAAGGAAUAAAUUCCGGACACAGUAGGUAGGAGUGCAUGGUGCUAGAUAACACAGCUUCCUGCCUCCAGGGGGCUCAGCCAAGCUCUGCCCUAGCCCCUGGCCACAUGGAGCAGGCAUUUGACUCAACGUUUGGCAUUUGACUCAACGUUUGGCAUUUGACUCAACGUUUGGCAUUUGACUCAACAGGUAAGACAGGAUUUCACCAUUGUUGCGGGAAGUCAGGGACCCUGAACGGAGGGACCAGCUGGAGCCUCAGCAGAGGAAACAUAAAUUGUGAAGAUUUCAUGGACAUUUAUCACUUACCUAAUAAUACUCUUAUAAUUUCUUACUCUUGUCUUACUUUACUCUCUUAAUCCUAUUAUCUCCAUAAGCUGAGGAUGUAUAUCACCUCAGGACCCUGUGAUGAUUGCGUUAACUGAACAAAUUGAUUGUAAAACAUGUAUGUUUGAACAAUAUGAAAUCAGUGCACCUUGAAAAUGAACAGAAUAACAGCGAUUUUAGGGAAUAAGGGAAGACAACCAUAAGGUCUGACUGCCUGUGGGGUCGAGCAAAAAGAGCCAUAUUUUUCUUCUUGCAGAGAGCCUAUAAAUGGAUGUGCAAGUAGGAGAGAUAUUGCUAAAUUCUUUUCCUAGCAAAGAAUAUAAUAUUAAGACCCUAGGAAAAGAAUUGCAUUCCUGGGGGGAGGUCUAUAAAUGGCCACUCUGCAAAUGUCUGUCCUAUGCGGUUGAGAUAAGGACUGGGAUACACCCUGGUCUCCUGCAGUACCUUCAGGCUUACUAGGAUUGGGAAACCCCAGCCCUGGUAAAUUUGAGGGCAGACUGGUUCUCUGCUCUCGAACCCUGUUUAUCAAGACAAUACGUGCACAGCUGAACAUAGGCCCUUAUCAGGAGUUUUUGAUUUUGCACUUUGCCUUGUGAUCUUUGCUUUGCCCUUUGCCUUGUGAUCUUUAUUGACCUCAGAAGCAUGUGAUCUCUGUGACCUACUCCCAGUACGUACACCCCCUCCCUUUUUGAAAUCCUUAAAAAAACUCUGCUGGUUUUGCGGCUCAGGUGGGCAUCACAGACCUACUGAUAUGUGAUGUCACCCGUGGAGGCCCAGCUGUAAAAUUCUUCUUUUUGUACUCUUUCUCUUUAUUUCUCAGCCAGCCGACACUUAGGGAAAAUAGAAAGAAUCUACAUUGAAAUAUUGAGGGUGGGUUCCCCUGAUACACCAUGUUGGCCAGGCUGAUCUCAAACUCCUGACCUCAAGCAAUCCACCUGCCUCAGCCUCCCAAAGUGCUGGGAUUACAGGCGUGAGCCACCAUGCCAGGCCCUAAUUUUUGUAUUUUUAGUAGAGAUGGGGUUUCACCACGUCAGCCAGGCUUAUCUCGAACUCCUGACCUCAGGUGAUCGGCCUGCCUCUGCCUCCCAAAGUGCCGAGAUUACAGGCAUGAGCCACUGUGCCCGGCCUGAAAAUGUGUAUUCUGAUAGGUUCGUGUGACACAUAGUAAUCACAGGUAUGGUCCUCAAAGCCAGACUUCCUGAGUUCCAAGGCCUGGCUCUGCCAUUUCUUAGCUAUAUCACCUUGGGCGAGUCACUUAACUUUACUGUGCUCAGGUUUCUUGAUAUAUUAAAUGGAGCUAAUUAUAGGCCCUCCUCAAGGAGUUGUGCAAAUAAUAAAUGAAUUAUGUAAAAUGCAGAAAAAAUCCUGGCAUAUUGCAGGGGCUCAAUAAGUGUUAGCUAUUAUUAUGUUCACUUAUCUGCUCACCACAUUUGCUAGUGCAUGAAUAACAAUAAUGGCUAUAGUGAUAUCAUUACCUAUAUUAUAUUUUCUUUUUUAUUUUUCUUUUCUUUUUUUUUUUUUUGAGACAGAGUCUUGCUCUGUCACCAGGCUGGAGUGCAGAGGCAUGAUCUCAGCUCGCUGAAACCUCUGCCUCCCAGGUUCCAGCGAUUCUUCUGACUCAGCCUCCUGAGUAACUGGGACCACAGGCACACGCCAUCAUGCCCAGCUAAUUUUUUGUAUUUUAGUAGAGAUGGGGUUUCACCAUGUUGGCCAGGAUGGUCUCGAUCUCCUGACCUUGUGAUCCACCCACGUCGGCCUCCCAAAGUGCCGGGACUACAGGCAAGAGCCACCAUGCCCGGCCUACCUAUAUUAUAUUUUAAUAGCUAACAUAUAUUGGGAGCUUACUCUGUGUCAGGCACUAUACUAAAUAAAUUAUCUCCCCACAAUAACUGUAUUUGGUAAGUAUUAUGAUCGUUCCUAAUUUAUAUUGGGAAUUGAAACUUUGGAGAGUUGACGUGACUUGCUUUAGAUUAAAGGCUUAGCAUCAGUAGAGCUGGGAUAAAAUCCUGGUGGUUGGAUUUGAAAGUCCCCCUUCAUAACUGUUACAUUCUGCUUGCUCAAAGGCCCAAGCCUUGAAACUUUAAAACAGGAAGAUUCCUUGAAGAUGAGCUACAGGAAUUCACUGGUGCCUCCAUUUCACUGAUGCAGAAAGGCCCAGGGGUUUGAAUGACCCACCUGAGGUCAAAUAGAUGGGAUCAGAACUGGAAUUAAAGGAAAGAGGGACAGAAGAGAGGGAUCCAGAAGGGAGAGAGAAGGAUGAGACCAAGACUUCCAUAUUGGCCAUAAAGAGGAUCAGAAUAUGCCUCUCCAAAAUAUGCCACCCCAAAAUAUACCUCUCCAAAAUAUGCCACCCCAAAAUAUGCCUCUUUGGCAUGAAGAUUAUUUUGAGAUGAUGGCAGUUGAGAAACAGCAGACACAGGAAAAGCUCUCUACCACCCUCCUUUCUGUCUAAAAGCAGGGCAUACAUUUCCUAUUGUGAAGGUUUCUCCCUCCCCUCUCUAAUCCAGGAAGAGAAAACAACUUUUUUUUGGUUUUUUGAGACAGAGUCUCGCUCUGUCACCCAGGCUGGAGUGCAGUGGCAGGAUUUUGGCCCGCUGCAACCUCCGCCCUCCAGGUUCAAGCAAUUCUCCUGCCUCAGCCUCCUGAGUAGCUGGGAUUAUAGGCGAGUACCACCACGCCCAGCUAAUUUUUGUAUUUUCAGUUGAGACAGGGUUUUAUCAUGUUGGCCAUGCUGGUCUCAAACUCCUGACCUCAACUGAUCCGCCCACCUUGGCCUCCCAAAGAGCUGGGACUACAGGCGUGAGCCACCUCACCCGGACUUCUUUCCCCCAUAUAUUUACCUUCCCAGAAUUACCUUCCCUAGAAGGCCACACCCUUUUCCUUCGUCUUUUCACUUCUCUAUAAAUGUAACGCUCUUUGUUACUAUAUAAGCUCUCAGACCUAACUGCUUCUUUAGAGUUUUACUUCUUUUUCUAUGAGAUCCCUAUGUACAUGUAAAAAUUAAAAUAUUAACAUCAAAUAAAAUGAACAUGGCUUUUUUCUGUUAAUC